rnacentral:rRNA from 1 species
AGCGAACGCUGGCGGCAGGCCUAACACAUGCAAGUCGAACGAACUCUUCGGAGUUAGUGGCGGACGGGUGAGUAACACGUGGGAACGUGCCUUUUGGUUCGGAAUAACUCAGGGAAACUUGUGCUAAUACCGAAUGUGCCCUUCGGGGGAAAGAUUUAUCGCCAUUAGAGCGGCCCGCGUCUGAUUAGCUAGUUGGUGAGGUAACGGCUCACCAAGGCGACGAUCAGUAGCUGGUCUGAGGGGAUGACCAGCCACACUGGGACUGAGACACGGCCCAGACUCCUACGGGAGGCAGCAGUGGGGAAUCUUGCACAAUGGGCGAAAGCCUGACGCAGCCAUGCCGCGUGAAUGAUGAAGGUCUUAGGAUUGUAAAAUUCUUUCACCGGGGACGAUAAUGACGGUACCCGGAGAAGAAGCCCCGGCUAACUUCGUG